CCUACGGGUGGCAGCAGUGAGGUAUAUUGGUCAAUGGACGCGAGCCUGAACCAGCCAAGUCGCGUGAGGGAAGACGGUCCUAUGGGUUGUAAACCUCUUUUGUCUGGGAGCAAAAGACGCCACGCGUGGCGUUCCGAGAGUACCCGAAGAAAAAGCAUCGGCUAACUCCGUGCCAGCAGCCGCGGUAAUACGGAGGAUGCGAGCGUUAUCCGUAUUUAUUGGGUUUAAAGGGUGCGCAGAGGGACGAUCAAGUCAGCGGUAAAAUUGAGAGGCUCAACCUCUUAUAGCCGUUGAGACUGGGUGUCUUGAGUGAGUGAGAAGUAUGCGGAAUGCGUGGUGUAGCGGUGAAAUGCAUAGAUAUCACGCAGAACUCCGAUUGCGAAGGCAGCAUACCGGCCCUCAACUGACGCUCAUGCACGAAAGUGUGGGUAUCGAACAGGAUUAGAUACCCCUGUAGUC
rnacentral:rRNA from 1 species